rnacentral:rRNA from 1 species
GGGUUUACCCAUUGGUCAGGCUUAAUUGUCUGUACUGGUGAGAUAAAUCUCUACCUUCUGAGGAACUUUCAUGUCAUUAAUUUGGUGUGAUGGGAAAUCAGGACUGUUACUUUGAAAAAAUUAGAGUGUUCAAAGCAGGCAUUUGCUCGAAUACAUUAGCAUGGAAUAAUAGAAUAGGAC